ACAGUGUACCUCACAGGUAUUGAAUGUCAGACAAUCACUCAGUCUGAAGCACUUACAUGUACAAUAUGGAUACAAUAUGGAUGGACUGGAUUUACUUUCAGCAAUCUAUAUCUGAGCUGGAGCAGACAGAGCCCUGGAAAAGGACUGGAGUGGAUUGCAUACAUCGACACAGCUCGUUCUCCAAUCUACUAUUCCCAGUCAGUCCAGGGCAGGUUCACAGUGUCCAGAGAUGAUUCCAGCAGUCAACUGUACCUACAGAUGAACAGCCUCAAGACUGAAGACACUGCUGUGUAUUACUGCGCUAGAGAGUCACUGUGA